rnacentral:rRNA from 1 species
AUUGAACGCUGGCGGCAUGCCUUACACAUGCAAGUCGAACGGCAGCACGGGAGCAAUCCUGGUGGCGAGUGGCGAACGGGUGAGUAAAGUAUCGGAACGUGCCCAGUCGUGGGGGAUCACGUAGCGAAAGUUACGCUAGUACCGCAUACGAUCUAUGGAUGAAAGCGGGGGAUCGCAAGACCUCGCGCGAUUGGAGCGGCCGAUAUCAGAUUAGGUAGUUGGGGGGGUAAAGGCUCACCAAGACGACGAUCUGUAGCUGGUCUGAGAGGACGACCAGCCACACUGGGACUGAGACACGGCCCAGACUCCUACGGGAGGCAGCAGUGGGGAAUUUUGGACAAUGGGCGCAAGCCUGAUCCAGCCAUGCCGCGUGCAGGAUGAAGGCCUUCGGGUUGUAAACUGCUUUUGUACGGAACGAAAAGGUUUGACUUAAUACGUUGGACUCAUGACGGUACCGUAAGAAUAAGCACCGGCUAACUACGUGCCAGCAGCCGCGGUAA